GGAAUACUUCGAAGGGACAGCCAUCUUAGACAAUGAAGAGGCAACUGACUUUCUGAACACAAAGAACAACCUUCCAGAAAAGAACGAAAGCACAGCAUUUCUAGAUUCCAUAUUUGGUGAGUUGCCUCCCAAAUCCAUAAUCAAGGUAAAACUCCUCUUCGAAAAACCUGCAUAUCCCAAUCGAAGAGCAAAGUCCAACAAAAAAUGCUUCGAAUGUACUGAAGAAAAUGAAGAAAGAUGCUGAUUUAAGAAAGCCACAGCUGUACAUUCAACAUCAUCCACCUUACAAUUCUGGACAACUUGCCAGUGAAACUGUUUCACAUUCCUCCGUACCUUUAAAAUGAGGAUCAAAACCUGACAUCCUGACCUUAUGUAUUUUACCCAAUGUUUUGCUGAAAUAUAAUCUAGUCUAGCAAAGCUCUUUGUGUGUGUGUUACCUCUCUGCUACCCAUCUGUCAGUUACCCAAAACUCCUUUUCCACUUCGUAUCAACCCUUGGCUCCGGUCUUAAGGGGUGUCAAGGCCACUAGCGUCCCCCAUCCUUUGCUUUUUCUUCCUUUCAUC